AUGGAGAAUACAGCACCACAUCCUUCAUGCAUCGGCCGACCAGCAUCCAUGCCGGCCGGCGAGAGCAGCUGGGGGAUGCACUUUGCGUCGUCGGCGCACGGCAACCAGGACGACAUGGGUCGUCAGGGAGGGGCGAUAUCUGACAGUAGCUUCCCCUAUGACUACUCCUACUCCUUUGCCUCCCUGGGCGACGGCUCCAACUCGGCCUCCUUCAUCACAUCCGACCUGAUGGACGAGGAGGAGGAGGAGGAGGAGGAGGAGGAUUCUUUGCAGGACACUGCUUCUUCUUCCCCGGCCGGCCCUAAGGUUGCCAACAUCAACGUUGUUUACAUGAAGUCAAUGAUAACCAUGGAUACAAAAAAGAUGAACACCCCACAACUUGCCAACUAUUUUCUUGGUGCACAUUCAAGGCAGCAGGCCACUGGUGCGGUUCAAGAAUCGAUCAUUGGUGAAGAUAAUAACGAGAAACAAUAUACUGAGUGUAAUGAUCUGAGGAAGAAAGGGCUUUGCUUGGUCCCUCUGUCCUUGUUGAUAGACUACCUAGGAUGA
rnacentral:rRNA from 1 species